UGGUGACAAAGAUGGUAGAAUUCUUGUGACAUCAACACGGUAAUGCAUUAAAGAAAUUGGGAUUGAACAUUCCAUGACAGAGAACUGAACCCCAUGGUUGUUGGUUGGAUUGAGAUCUAUGAAGGCCUAACCUUUUUUACAGUGAGGGCCUCUGGUCACCAAGUGCAAACAAAUAUUCCUGGUCAUGUUCCAAAAAGAUUUCUAGCCGAUGAUAAGUUGUUGUCAGCACCCUAUUGAUUGAUCUAUUAGAUUCAGAGUAAAGAUAAAAUCAAGAUUGCAUAAGAGAAUAUAUAAUGUAAAAUCCAAAAAAAUUUGUAUCAUGUUUUAUGGAGAAUAUAUCUCUUAUGAUUUAUGGUGAUCA